CCCAGGUCAGGCGGGGCUACCCGCUGAAUUUAAGCAUAUCAAUAAGCGGAG
rnacentral:rRNA from 1 species